CCUACGGGAGGCUGCAGUAGGGAAUUUUGCGCAAUGGGGGAAACCCUGACGCAGCAACGCCGCGUGAUCGAUGAAGCCCUUCGGGGUGUAAAGCUCUUUGAUCAGGGACGAACAGAUGACGGUACCUGAAGAACAAGCCCCGGCUAACUACGUGCCAGCAGCCGCGGUAAAACGUAGGGGGCGAGCGUUGUCCGGAAUGACUGGGCGUAAAGGGUGCGUAGGCGGCAUAAUAAGUUAGAAGUGAAAUACCCAGAGCUUAACUCGGGUGCUGCUUCUAAGACUGUUGAGCUUGAGUGCGGGAGAGGUUAAUGGAAUUCCUAGUGUAGCGGUGGAAUGCGUAGAUAUUAGGAGGAACACCAGAGGCGAAGGCGAUUAACUGGACCGUAACUGACGCUGAGGCACGAAAGUGUGGGUAGCAAACAGGAUUAGAUACCCGAGUAGUC
rnacentral:rRNA from 1 species